UACGAAGGGGGCUAGCGUUGUUCGGAAUUACUGGGCGUAAAGGGCGCGUAGGCGGUGUGUCAAGUCAGGCGUGAAAGCCCCGGGCUCAACCUGGGAACCGCGCUUGAAACUGGCACGCUAGAGUUCGGGAGAGGAUGGUGGAAUUCCCAGUGUAGAGGUGAAAUUCGUAGAUAUUGGGAAGAACACCGAUGGCGAAGGCAGCCAUCUGGACCGACACUGACGCUGAGGCGCGAAAGCGUGGGGAGCAAACAGG
rnacentral:rRNA from 1 species